CUCGGGUUCCUACUCCCGACCCUGUGAUGACUUUAAAUGUUGCUUUGGCGGACCGGCAAUAUUGCCACCGGCCUAGGCUGGAUAGCGUCCGCCAGAGGAUUUUUAAAUUUCUUUGAAUGUGAAUUCUGAGUCCUUGAAAAUUGAAUCAAAACUUUCAACAACGGAUCUCUUGGUUAUGGCAUCGAUGAAGAACGCAGCGAAAUGCGAUAAGUAAUGUGAAUCGCAGAAUUCAGUGAAUCAUCGAAUCUUUGAACGCACAUUGCGCCCUUUGGUAUUCCGAGGGGCACGCCUGUUCGAGCGUCAUUUAAACCAUCAAGCCUAGCUUGGUCUUGGACGCGGUCGAGUGACCCGUCCGUAACCCGUUGGCGGUGCAGUCCGGCUUCAAGCGUAGCAAAAAUUUCGCUUCAGGAGUCCGCGGCGGUGCCCGCCAGGUAACAAUAUCCCAAAGUUUGACCUCGGAUCAGGUGAGGAUACCCGCUGAACUUAAGCAUAUCAAUAAGCGGA
rnacentral:rRNA from 1 species